GUAAUCUGAAGGACUACCAGCAGGCAGUCAACUGUACUCUGCAGGUACAGAGGCAAUGCAGUGAUGACGCGAUGAAGCCCACAGUAGCCGACUCCCAGACAGUGCAGGACGGCUUGGCCAAACUCUGUGGUCAUAUCGGGGAUUUCGACACCAAAUGCGUUCAAAAUGCACCCAAAG
rnacentral:misc_RNA from 1 species